GGCCUGGUAGCCAAGUGGUAAGGCGGAAGUCUGCAAAACUUCUAUACGGGGGUUCGACUCCCCCCCAGGCCUCAA
rnacentral:tRNA from 1 species